AUUGAACGCUGGCGGCAGGCCUAACACAUGCAAGUCGAACGGUAACAGGAAGCAGCUUGCUGCUUUGCUGACGAGUGGCGGACGGGUGAGUAAUGUCUGGGAAACUGCCUGAUGGAGGGGGAUAACUACUGGAAACGGUAGCUAAUACCGCAUAACGUCGCAAGACCAAAGAGGGGGACCUUCGGGCCUCUUGCCAUCGGAUGUGCCCAGGUGGGAUUAGCUAGUAGGUGGGGUAACGGCUCACCUAGGCGACGAUCCCUAGCUGGUCUGAGAGGAUGACCAGCCACACUGGAACUGAGACACGGUCCAGACUCCUACGGGAGGCAGCAGUGGGGAAUAUUGCACAAAGGGCGCAAGCCUGAUGCAGCCAUGCCGCGUGUAUGAAGAAGGCCUUCGGGUUGUAAAGUACUUUCAGCGGGGAGGAAGGGAGUAAAGUUAAUACCUUUGCUCAUUGACGUUACCCGCAGAAGAAGCACCGGCUAACUCCGUG
rnacentral:rRNA from 1 species